rnacentral:rRNA from 1 species
GAGGAAUUUUGGUCAAUGGGGGAAACCCUGAACCAGCGACGCCGCGUGUGGGAUGAAUGGGCUCUGCCCUGUAAACCACUGUCAGAUAGGAAGAAAGUUCGGUUGCCGGACUGGGACUGUACUAUCAGAGGAA